rnacentral:rRNA from 1 species
ACGACUCUCAGCAACGGAU